GCACGCGGCCGCCCAGGAGCACCUGCAGCGUCAGCUGCUGGAGCGCGAGCGGCUGGGCCUGCCGCUGCCGCACGCGGUGCCCACCUCGCUGCACUCGUCGCUGCUGGCGCACCACGCUCAGCAGGAGGAGUACAUUAGAUAUCAGCGAGAACGAGAGAAGAGAGCGUUAGAAGAAGCGUCGCGCGCCCCACCCAAGCCUUAGCAGGCCGGGCGGUGCGCUUAUCGACCGCGGCUUUGUGCAAAUGAUUACGGCGUCCGCAUUCUCCGUUCAGAGGUCGUGUUUGCUUUGAUUAUUUAUACCGGGAGGUAAUGUGCAACAGUGUCGGGGAUCCGUCAGCGGGGUGAGCCGGGUUCGGCCGCGCGCUAGCUGGGCCGCGCGAGGGAACGGACAGUGCCUACGGUGAGGAGAGAGCGCUGGCGGCCGCAGGGACGUGGCGGCUGCAUCUUGCCAGGCGGGACACAGCGCUGCGGGCUCAGAGCAGGCGCCAGAUGCCUAUCAAAUACUGUGUUAGGUUAAACGUAAUCUUGAGCGCUGUGUGGGCGGACGGGGGCAGCUGUUUCGAAAGGCUGUCGAAUCUGUGGGGAAGCACGCAUUUGCACUUGUUCAUCACCCAAAGAUCUUGUGAACGUCGGUUUUGCUUUGCAGCUUGGUGGCUAGUAGUGUGUGGUUGUAAGCGAGUGCAUUCACUUGGUGUACCAAUGUUUUGUACGAAGAUCAUGGUGUAAAUACUUCAUGCUAAUAUAGAUAAUUACUUACAUUGA